rnacentral:rRNA from 1 species
UUGACGGUACCCUACUAGAAAGGAGCCGCUAACUUCGUGCCAGAAGCGUCGGUAAUACGGGGGCUCCAAGCGUUAUCCGGUGUUAUUGGGCGUAAAGAGUCGUGUAGGUGGUUGGGUAAGUUAUCUUUCAAAUAUCUUUGCUUAACAAAGAGGAGGGGGAUAAUACUGCUCGACUAGAAUUUUCUCAAGGGAGAUCGGAACUGAGGGAGGAGUAGUGAAAUGCGUUGAUACCCUCGGGAACACCAGUGGCGUAGGCGGAUCUCUGGGAGAAGAUUGACACUGAGACACGAAAGCUAGGGGAGCGAAGCAGAUUAGAGACCUGCGUAGUCCUAGCCGUAAACGCAUGCUUGCUAGCUGCAUGAAUCUACCUUCGGGUGGUAUCGUGUGGCGAAGGUAACCCGUUAAGCAAGCCGCCUGGAAAGUACGGCCGCAAGGCUGAAAUUCAAAGGAAUUGGCGGGGAGGCACACAACCAGUGGAACAUGUGGUUUAAUUCGAGACUAACCGAAGAACCUCACCAGGGUUUGACAUGUAGCUGCACGUCUUAAGAAAUUAAGACUCUCUUGAAGGUGCUACACAGGUGCUACAUGGCUGUCGUCAGCUCGUUCCGUGAGGAGUGCCCUUAAGUGGGACAACGAGCGCAACCCCUAUUACAUGUUAGAAAUGUCAUGUAAGACUGCCUUGCCAUUUGGCGGGGAGGAAGGAGGGGCAGACGUCAAGUCCGCAUGGUCCUUAUGCCCUGGGCUACACACAUGUUACAAUGAGUACGGCAAUGAGUCUGUCGCGAGCACGUAAGUGUAAGCUAAUCUCUUAAAUGUACUCUCAGUGGGGAUUGAGGUCUGCAACUCGACCUCAUGAACACGGAAUUGGUAGUAAUCGCGGGUCAGCUAUACCGCGGUGGAUACGUUCUUGCCUCUUGCACACACCGCCCGUCAAACCAGCAAAGU